AUUGAACGCUGGCGGCAUGCCUUACACAUGCAAGUCGAACGGCAGCACGGGAGCAAUCCUGGUGGCGAGUGGCGAACGGGUGAGUAAAGUAUCGGAACGUGCCCAGUCGUGGGGGAUAACGUAGCGAAAGUUACGCUAAUACCGCAUACGAUCUAUGGAUGAAAGCGGGGGAUCGCAAGACCUCGCGCGAUUGGAGCGGCCGAUAUCAGAUUAGGUAGUUGGUGGGGUAAAGGCUCACCAAGCCGACGAUCUGUAGCUGGUCUGAGAGGACGACCAGCCACACUGGGACUGGGACACGGCCCAGACUCCUACGGGAGGCAGCAGUGGGGAAUUUUGGACAAUGGGCGAAAGCCUGAUCCAGCCAUGCCGCGUGCAGGAUGAAGGCCUUCGGGUUGUAAACUGCUUUUGUACGGAAAGAAAUGGCUCUGGUUAAUACCUGGGGUCGAUGACGGUACCGGAAGAAUAAGGACCGGCUAACUACGUGCCAGCCGCCGCCGUAA
rnacentral:rRNA from 1 species